UACGAGGGGGCAAGCGUUGUUCGGAAUUAUUGGGCGUAAAGGGUGCGUAGGCGGUUUGACAAGUCUUGUGUGAAAUCUAUGGGCUCAACCCAUAGUCUGCACGGGAACUGUCGGGCUUGAGUAUUGGAGAGGUGGAGUGGAAUUUCGGUGUAGCGGUGAAAUGCGUAGAUAUCGGAAGGAACACCUGUGGCGAAAGCGGCUCACUGGACAUACUGACGCUGAUGCACGAAAGCUAGGGGAGCAAACAGG
rnacentral:rRNA from 1 species